rnacentral:lncRNA from 1 species
CGUGCCGCCUCCUGCCGCCGCCGAGAUCCGCCAUCGCCCGAGCCCCAUCUUCGCCCUCCCCACCGAGCCGUGCCGCCUCCUGCCGCCGCCGAGAUCCGCCAUCGCCCGAGCCCCAUCUUCUCCCUCCCCACCGAGCCGUGCCGCCUCGCCGUCGCCGUCCCCAUCCCCGCCGCUCCCGCGACCGCCCGAUUGCCACCACCGUUGCCUCCUUCCCCGCACCCACGUGCUCCACCACUGCCGCCGUGCGUCGUCGGCCGCUGCCUACUCCGGACGGACCGCUUGCAGCGCCCGUCGCCGAGACUUCAUCCGAGCCGCUCCCAUCCAGCUCUCAUCCGCGAUCAGGGACACCCCUGUGUGCCAGGCUGCCAGCCGAGAGGUGGCAUCAGGCCACAUCCGAGCCUGACCGGCCUGGCCCAGCUCUCCUCAGCAGGCCGCCAGCCCAGCCCGUGCGCCGUACUGUAGCGCGGUCCAAGCCCAAUCGGCUGCAGACCCUGUUUCAGGCCCAAUCCAACACCUUUUUUCAGCCCAUUUCAGAAGUCCAGGAGCCCUUGU